rnacentral:rRNA from 1 species
GUGCCAGCAGCCGCGGUAAGACGAGCCUCACGAACGUUAUUCGGAAUUACUGGGCUUAAAGGGUGCGUAGGCGGCGCGAAAAGUUGGGUGUGAAAUACCUCGGCUCAACCGAGGAACUGCGCCCAAAACUAUCGUGCUCGAGGGAGAUAGAGGUGAGCGGAACUUACGGUGGAGCGGUGAAAUGCGUUGAUAUCGUAAGGAACACCCGUGGCGAAAGCGGCUCACUGGGUCUUCUCUGACGCUGAUGCACGAAAGCUAGGGGAGCAAACGGGAUUAGAUACCCCAGUAGUCC